GACGAACGCUGGCGGCGUGCUUAACACAUGCAAGUCGAACGGUGAACCUCGCUUGCGGGGGGAUCAGUGGCGAACGGGUGAGUAACAUGUGGGCAACCUGCCCUCAGCUCUGGGAUAACUCCAAGAAAUUGGGGCUAAUACCGGAUAUGACCGCUGACCGCAUGGUCUGGUGGUGGAAAGAUUUAUCGGCUGGGGAUGGGCCCGCGGCCUAUCAGCUUGUUGGUGGGGUAGUGGCCUACCAAGGCGACGACGGGUAGCCGGCCUGAGAGGGUGACCGGCCACACUGGGACUGAGACACGGCCCAGACUCCUACGGGAGGCAGCAGUGGGGAAUAUUGCGCAAUGGGCGAAAGCCUGACGCAGCGACGCCGCGUGGGGGAUGACGGCCUUCGGGUUGUAAACCUCUUUCAGCAGGGACGAAGCGAAAGUGACGGUACCUGCAGAAGAAGCACCGGCCAACUACGUGCCAGCAGCCGCCGUAAGAC
rnacentral:rRNA from 1 species